UACGGAGGGUGCAAGCGUUGUCCGGAAUUAUUGGGCGUAAAGAGCUCGUAGGCGGUUUGUCGCGUCUGCUGUGAAAACUCGGGGCUUAACUCCGGGCCUGCAGUGGGUACGGGCAGACUAGAGUGCGGUAGGGGAGACUGGAAUUCCUGGUGUAGCGGUGAAAUGCGCAGAUAUCAGGAGGAACACCGGUGGCGAAGGCGGGUCUCUGGGCCGUAACUGACGCUGAGGAGCGAAAGCGUGGGGAGCGAACAGG
rnacentral:rRNA from 1 species